UACGUAGGGGGCAAGCGUUGUCCGGAUUUAUUGGGCGUAAAGAGCGUGUAGGCGGUCUGGUAGGUCCGUUGUGAAAACUCGAGGCUCAACCUCGAGACGCCGAUGGAAACCAUCAGACUAGAGUCCGGAAGAGGAGAGUGGAAUUCCUGGUGUAGCGGUGAAAUGCGCAGAUAUCAGGAGGAACACCGGUGGCGAAGGCGGUUCUCUGGGCCUUACCUGACGCUGAGACGCGAAAGCGUGGGGAGCGAACAGG
rnacentral:rRNA from 1 species